rnacentral:rRNA from 1 species
AGCGAACGCUGGCGGCAGGCCUAACACAUGCAAGUCGAGCGGGCGUAGCAAUACGUCAGCGGCAGACGGGUGAGUAACGCGUGGGAACGUACCUUUUGGUUCGGAACAACACAGGGAAACUUGUGCUAAUACCGGAUAAGCCCUUACGGGGUAAGAUUUAUCGCCGAAAGAUCGGCCCGCGUCUGAUUAGCUAGCUGGUAAGGUAACAGCUCACCAAGGCGACGAUCAGUAGCUGGACUGAGAGGAUGAUCAGACACAUUGGGGCUGAGACACGGCCCAAAAUCCUACGGGAGGCAGCAGUGGGGAAUAUUGGAAAAUGGCGGCAACCCUGAUCCAGCCAGGCCGCGUGAGUGAUGAAGGCCGUAGGGUUGUAAAGCUCUUUUGUGCGGGAAGAUAAUGACGGUACCGAAAGAAUAAGCCCCGGCUAACUUCGUG